AUUGCUGCUCCGGAUAGGGCUAGAGGCUCGCCAUUGUUCCUGCGCAGCUACGUGCCCAGGUUAGUCCUAAUUGAGCCGAACACUAGACGCUGGGUUCCACAGUUCUCUUCAGUGACCCACGGCUUCUAAUAGAGCUAUAACACUCACCGCACGGCCCAAGGUUCCAUUCCUUGGAAUCCCUGAGGCCAAGAACCUCAGGUCAGAGAGCAAGAGGCUUGCCACCAUCUUGGGAGCUCUGGGAGCAGAGACCUGCAGAAGUGGCAGUGCUCCUUUUGCCUAGAAUUAAGAUGAUGCAGCUGAGACAUCCUUCCUGACAGCCAAGCAGGCUAUUCAGCAGGGCCAAGCCUUACAGAAAGACACCCAUAUUGUAAGGACACUCAAAUAUCCCAAUGGGGAGGUCCAUGUGGUGAAGAACAGAAGUCUGCAUAUAGACAGAAAAGAACUGUGGCCUGUAGCCCAUAGCAAUAUGAGUGACUCACCUAGGAAGUGGUUUCUUCUGCUGCAACAAAGCCUUCUGUUAACUGUAGCGCUGCCUGACAUCUUUACUGCACCUUCAUGAGCUCCUGAGUCAGAACCAUCCAGCUAAAUUCCUGAACCACACAAACUGGUAAAAUCAUUUUCUGAACCAGACAAACUGGGGGAGCAUCAAUACUUAUCUUCCAACCUGCUAAAAUUUGGAGUAAUUUCUUAUAUAGCAAUAGUUAACUAAGACAGAUUUUGGGACAGAGAAUGUCAUGCUGCUGUAACAUAAACCUCAAAUAUGUGCUGGUAUUUAAACUAGGGAGUGAUUGGAAGCUGGAAAACUUCAAACAACUGUGAGUGAAAACAGAGGAGCUUUUAAUAAAUGGUUUGUAAUAACAGGGUGACAUUUGGGGAGGCUGCUAAAGGGGAAACUGUGACUUAAAAUACCAAGAAACAAAUAGAUUAAAGUUCCCCCUUGGAAAUCCAGACACCUGAAGAGAUUUGAGAGAAAGUCCUAAUUGUAGCUAGAAUCAGAUCGGUGAGUUUCAUCUCUACCCAAUCAAUACAAUUCACAGCUAUAACUAAAUAUUUCUUCUCUUACAGUGCUCUAGUUCCUACUUGGUAUAAAUAUUUGUCUGUGAAGCACAAUGAUUUAAAUGUGUCCCCUAAAUUUUAUAUGUUGGAAAUUUAAUCCCCAAGGCAACAGUUUUGAGAGGUAACACGUUUGGGAGUUGAUUAGCCCAUGAGGCCACUGCCCACAUGAAAAGAUUAAUGGCGUUUUUGUGGGAGUUGCAUUCCUAAUGAAUGAAUUUGGGCCCCUUCCUCUUUUGUUCUCAUCUCACCUGCAAAAAUUCUUGCGUUUCUGCCUUCCACCAUGGAAUGAUAUAGUAAGAAGCCCCUAGCCAGAUAUGGGCACCUUGAUCUUGGACUUCUCAGCCUCCAGAACCGCAGAAAAGAACUUUCUGUUCUUUAUAAAUUAACCAAUCUCAGCUAUUCGGUUGUAGCAGCAAAAAACAGAUUAAGACAAGGAGAAAGUUCUUUCUUCUCUUGCUGCUGAUGCAAUUCCAGCACUGCUCAGCUUGAGAGGCAAGAAUGAGCCUGUCCUUCCUACCUGUUUUGUUUUCCAAAGUUAGGAAUGUCCAUCAACUGACUCCUUACCUUUACAUUUUUGCCCUUUUUGGCAGUUGUGAUGGAUAUGAGUGUGGAGGACUAGCAUGUGCAAAAUUUUUCUUCUUGCCUGGAUGCCUUAAUGUAUUUACCUUAAAAUUUUGGAAGAAAAUAAAGAUUGAAACCAGAUUAAAAGCACAUGUUUAUAAAUAAUUUAGGCCUACAUACACAAAUACUGUGAACAAUUAAUGGGUUUUCAAACAACUUAAUUUUGCAAAGGAGAUGGUAAGAGGUUGAAAAGCCUUUAUGUAUAUACGAGCCGCAUUUCCUCUUUCCCAAGCUCUUGUCAUCUGUUUCUGUGCGUUUUCACUGACUGUUAAAGGCAACAUGUUUUUCCCUCUCUGUCUGGGUAUUCUGUAUCUGUGUGCCAUCUGCCGUGUCUGACAUUAUUUCUGGAUAAAUAUACUCUUUGUUUUAGUGAGUUCCCUACCUUAUUUCAGUGGUAGAGUCCAGUUCUGCUUGGGCUCUAGGAUUUAAAAAGCCUGCUUUAUGCAGUGUUAUGAUACUUCUUCUCUAACAUCAAUCUGCAUUCUGCCAUCCACAGCCCAGGGAAACUGCAGUAGAGUAAUUAGCAGUAUCCGAAUUACAAUUUUACCAAGAAGGCACAAAGGGGCAAGAGCCGAGGGCAACAAGAGGAUGAUUAAGUUUUAUCAGUAGUUUUUAAACUUUCCUUUUCUACUGUUCAUAAAUACAUUUAGAUUAUCAAGGACAUUUACUUAAAAGAAAUACAAAUCAGUUCUUAUCUUACCAAUUAAAACAAUUUUUUAAAUUUUGAUCUUUGAAGAUGUCACUUUUUCUUUAGUAAGUAGUAAAGCUUUGUACCCAGAAAUGUUCCUCAUCAAUGCAAUUUGAUAACAUCCAGUGAAUUAAGACACCAAAGUACUUAGCAUGAUUAAACUGCUGAUAAAUGUGUAUUCUUGAAUUCAUCAAGAAGCAUUGUCAUAUUAUAUUAUAGAUUUUUUUUUCUCAACUUGAUGUGGACUGUUUUGGUUACUUUUUUUGUUUUAAUUCUGUUAAAAGGCAGCUAACUAAAUAUUGAACUUAAAAUGAGAAUCAUUUUUUUCCAAACAAAUUUAAGUAAAUAACUUGUGUUAAUUUGCUUUGCUUAUGAGAGAACUACUCAAGACAAAAGUAGAUAGUAGUCUUGAAUUUAUAAGUAAUUCAACUUUCUUUUAUCCAGAAUGCACUCUCUUUGGAAGGUGUUGCAUUUAGUUGACUUGCUUUUGUUACAUACCUGUCAUACAUUUGCUAUUUUUGUUAUUUUUGCUCCAAUAUAUAUUAAAAUGUUUUUUUAAAUUUAAAUCCAUUUAUAGGAUUUACAAUGAAACUCUAGAGUAUUUUAACCUUUUUGUCCUGCUGGAGAAAAAAAUAGUACAUUAUGUGUUUUCUUAUAUACCCACAAACCAGUGGGUUCAGAAAUAUUCAAUUAUACCUGUGAAGAGAAAAUAGAAAAAAAAUGGGAAAUAUGUGUAGUAAAAAUUUGGAUGAGCAGACUUUUAAAAACAGCAUAUUAAAUUGGAGAUGUACAAC